rnacentral:rRNA from 1 species
UACGGAGGAUCCAAGCGUUAUUCGGAGUGACUGGGCGUAAAGAGUUGCGUAGGGGGUUUGUUAAGCAAAUAGUGAAAUCUUGUGGCUCAACCAUAAGGCUAUUAUUUGAACUGGCAAACUUGAGAAUAUGAGAGGUAGAUGGAAUUCCCAGUGUAGGAGUGAAAUCCGUAGAUAUUGGGAGGAACACCAAUGGCGUAGGCAGUCUACUGGCAUAUUUCUGACCCUGAGGCACGAAAGCGUGGGGAGCGAACCGG